UACGGAGGGUGCAAGCGUUGCUCGGAAUUAUUGGGCGUAAAGGGUAGGUAGGUGGUCUUAUUUGUCUGGGGUGAAAGCCUUGGGCUUAACCCAAGAAGUGCCUUAGAAACGGUAAGACUAGAGUCCUGGAGAGGGUCGUGGAAUUCCCGGUGUAGCGGUGAAAUGCGUAGAGAUCGGGAGGAACACCAGAGGCGAAAGCGGCGACCUGGACAGGCACUGACACUCAACUACGAAAGCGUGGGGAGCAAACAGG
rnacentral:rRNA from 1 species